CAUAGCUUCACGCUGAAGCUGUAUGCAUGCCUUUUGUGAAUCGAGUGUCGCCAUUUUGAGUGGACAAUGGGCGCUCGUCACUUUCCUCUGUAUCUGCUCCUGCUGCCAUCACACAUAAUAGCUGACAUAGGAGUAAUGGCGUCCGUCCACGAACAGGCAGAGACUUGCACAUGAGAAGGCCCUUCUUGCCAGAAUACAUUCAUUUGGGCUCAUUUGUCUGGACUAAAACGAGUGAAUGAGAAGAAGGAAAGUGGUCCUCGCACACUACGACACUGGGAUGAAGACAGCAGCCUCACCUUCCUAGAGAACGUGGACUAUGAUGGUUCUGGGCAUCUGGUAAUCUCCAGCCCAGGUCGUUACCGCAUCAGGAGUCACCUGGGCUACAGCAUACCAAGGGUCAGUUCCGGAACCCAGGCUUCCCACCAGGUCGUCAGAUACGACGCUACAUCACAGACGGAGGCCAUCCUGCAGUCAACUACUGUAUCAGCCUCCCCUUGUCACGACUGGUCUUGUGAUGGAUACAGCGAUCUUACAGUCCAUGAGAUACUGAACGCAGGAGACAUGGUGUACAUUAAGGUCUCCAACUCUCACAUUCUUAAUCCUAGGAAAUUUAAUUCGUAUUUUGAAUUAAUUGCACUCUGACGUACCUUUUCAUAUCUUUUAAACGUCAAAUAAAAUGUGUCAUGCCUUA